rnacentral:rRNA from 1 species
GACGAACGCUGGCGGCGUGCCUAAUACAUGCAAGUCGAGCGCAGGAAACCGUUCCGAACCCUUCGGGGGGACGACGGUGGAAUGAGCGGCGGACGGGUGAGUAACACGUAAAGAACCUGCCCAUAGGUCUGGGAUAACCACGAGAAAUCGGGGCUAAUACCGGAUGUGUCAUCGGACCGCAUGGGCCGCUGAUGAAAGGCGCUCCGGCGUCGCCCAUGGAAUGCUUUGCGGUGCAUUAGCUAGUUGGUGGGGUACCGGCCCACCAAGGCGACGAUGCAUAGCCGACCUGAGAGGGUGAUCGGCCACACUGGGACUGAGACACGGCCCAGACUCCUACGGGAGGCAGCAGUAGGGAAUCUUCCACAAUGGACGAAAGUCUGAUGGAGCAACGCCGCGUGAACGAUGAAGGCUUUCGGGUCGUAAAGUUCUGUUGUAAGGGAAGAACAAGUGCCGCAGGCAAUGGCGGCACCUUGACGGUACCUUGCGAGAAAGCCACGGCUAACUACGUGCCAGCAGCCGCCGUAA